GGAAUGGAUAAGCGCUGAAAGCAUCUAAGCGCGAAGCCAACUUCAAGAUAAGAUUUCCCACCGCAAGGGUAAGACCCCAGAAAGACUAUCUGGUUGAUAGGUCGAAGGUGUAAGUGCAGCAAUGUAUUUAGCUUAUCGAUACUAAUAGGUCGAGGACUUGACCAAUAUUUAUU
rnacentral:rRNA from 1 species